UGGGGAAUAUUGCGCAAUGGGCGAAAGCUUGACGCAGCAACGCCGCGUGAGUGAUGAAGGCCUUCGGGUCGAAAGCUCUGUCGGGAGGAACGAAUGCUCCUGAGGUUAACAGCCUCGGGAGGUGACGGUACCUUCAAAGGAAGCCCCGGCUAACUCUGUG
rnacentral:rRNA from 1 species